rnacentral:tRNA from 1 species
GUUAUUGUAGCUUAUCUUUUAAAGCACGACACUGAAAAUGCCGAGAUGGAACACCAAAUAAUCCCAAAAACA